AAUAAUAAUAAAAAAUAAGAAUUCAUGAUUUAAGCCCUCUCAAUUGUAUAAUCAUAUACCUACACACUCUCAAAAUUACCACACUAAUUUAUUCAGACAAUGUGGAAUUUCACAGCUUAACUGUUAUUUCUCCUUAUAGACUGAAAGACUAUUAACGGUCACAAUCAGCCCCUUACGGAGUCCGACAAUCUGUGAUUAAUCUGGAAGAUCGAGGUGUGAGUUUCAUCACUGUUCCCUAGAAACAACUUAUGAAAAAAAUAGCAAUGACACUUGAUAGAUCAUCAAAAGCAAUAGAAAUCCUUUCUCGUAUGAUAUUUGAGGAGGAAAAGAGAAAAACGAAUUCAAGGUUUCUGUAUUUCCGAGGGUGGCCUAGUGAUUUCUCACAUUCUUUCUACUAACGACAUCAUGCUAUUUGGCCAAGCCAUGAUUCAAGAAGCUUCUCGAAUUCUUCAUUACCUUGACUUUGUACUGCCAAUGAUAUUGACUUUAACAAUAAGUUUAUAAUAUUUUUUUUACUUUUAA